rnacentral:rRNA from 1 species
UGAGGAAUAUUGGGCAAUGCCCGCAAGGGUGACCCAGCAACGCCGCGUGGAGGAUGAAUGUCGUAAGAUUGUAAACUCCUGUUAGAGGGGAAGAAUAGUACCGGUUGGACCGGUAUAUGACUGUACCCUCAGAGAAAGCCCCGGCUAACUACGUGCCAGCAGCCGCGGUAAUACGUAGGGGGCAAGCGUUGUCCGGAUUUACUGGGUGUAAAGGGCGCGCAGGCGGGAUAAAAAGUCAGUGGUGAAAUCCUACAGCUUAACUGUAGAACUGCCUUUGAUACUUUUAUUCUUGAGUUCGGGAGAGAGAGACGGAAUUCCAGGUGUAGUGGUGAAAUACGUAGAUAUCUGGAAGAACACCAGUUGCGAAGGCGGUCUCUUGGUCCGACACUGACACUGAGGCGCGAAAGCGUGGGGAGCAAACA